GUACUCGAGCGGCGAACGGGUGAGUAACACGUGAGCAACCUGCCCCAGGCUUUGGGAUAACCCCGGGAAACCGGGGCUAAUACCGGAUAUGACCUUGCACCGCAUGGUGUUUGGUGGAAAGUUUUUCGGCUUGGGAUGGGCUCGCGGCCUAUCAGCUUGUUGGUGGGGUGAUGGCCUACCAAGGCGACGACGGGUAGCCGGCCUGAGAGGGCGACCGGCCACACUGGGACUGAGACACGGCCCAGACUCCUACGGGAGGCAGCAGUGGGGAAUAUUGCACAAUGGGCGGAAGCCUGAUGCAGCGACGCCGCGUGAGGGAUGACGGCCUUCGGGUUGUAAACCUCUUUCAGCAGGGACGAAGCGUAAGUGACGGUACCUGCAGAAGAAGCGCCGGCCAACUACGUGCCAGCAGCCGCGGUAAGACGUAGGGCGCGAGCGUUGUCCGGAUUUAUUGGGCGUAAAGAGCUCGUAGGCGGCUUGUCGCGUCGACCGUGAAAACCUGGGGCUCAACCCCAGGCCUGCGGUCGAUACGGGCAGGCUAGAGUUCGGUAGGGGAGACUGGAAUUCCUGGUGUAGCGGUGAAAUGCGCAGAUAUCAGGAGGAACACCGGUGGCGAAGGCGGGUCUCUGGGCCGAUACUGACGCUGAGGAGCGAAAGCGUGGGGAGCGAACAGGAUUAGA
rnacentral:rRNA from 1 species